rnacentral:lncRNA from 1 species
CAGCAGGGCCACCCAUCUUGGGGCAGCACCCAGACCUGGGGGGCAGUGCCACAUGGAGAGAACAGGGACAUUUGUGGGACAGUGGGGACAGGGAGGGCAGGGACGUGUGGGAACCACAGGAAUACAGGGGAUGCGGAUAGCGUGUAGGGGGACACAGGGGACAUGGGGGAGAUGAAACAUGAAGAUGUGCAAGGAUGUAGGGUACAUGGAAGACUCAGGGGAUGAGGGGCAUGUGGGGAGACACAGGGGACAUGGAAGGCAUGGGGGACAUGUGGAAUGUGGGGAGACACAGAGGACACAGUGGAUAUGGGAGGCAUGUGAGCACUGUGAGGGUCACAGAGCACGUGGGGGGACGUGGGAGACCUGAGGACACCAAGAAUGGGGACACAUUGAAGCCACGGGGACCUGGGAGGACCCAGGGACAGGUGAGUGACCCUGGGACAUGCAGGGAGACAUGGAGUGCACAUGAGACAUGAGGUGAUAUAAGGGGAUUCAGAGGACCUGGGGGUGCAGAGGGGGCAUGGGUGGCAAAGGAGGCACCCAGGGACAUGGGGAAACAACAGGAACCCGGGGACACAACAGGAACACGUUGGCUGGGGACACCAAGCAGGAUCUGGGAACCGGGAAUAAGUGUUAACUGGGAGCUUAGGACUGGGAUCUGAGAAGUGGGGACUGGAGCAAGGGAUCGGUUCUGGGUACUGUGGGGUAGGAACUGGGAGCAAGGGAUUAGGAAGGGUUGGUAACUGGGAUCUAGGAACUCAGAAUUGGGAGCUCAGAACAGAGAACACUAAGCUGGGAAUUAGGGAAUAUGAUUACAGUGCUGAGAACUGGGAAUUUGGUGCUGGGAGCUGGGAAAUGGGAAAUGGUGAAAGGGAACUGAGAAUGGGGAGCAGAGGGCUUUGAAAGAGGAGGUAGAAACGGCUGGGAAGUGUGAACUGUUAGCUAGCAAGUGUGAUUUGGGAGCUGGAAACUGGGAGCUCUUGGAGUUGGAAGCUGGGAACAUGGAGAGCUUGGAACUGGGAACUGACCUAAGGGCUGAGAAAGGGGAGCUGUUUGAUGGGAACUGGAAAAUGAGAUGGGAGCUAGGAACUUAAAACUGGCAAUUGGGAUCUCGGAACCACAGUGGUGAGGGAAGAAGAUACGGCAGUGGGAACCCCACGGAGCUGUGCUGCCGCUCCAAUUGCUCAGUGUGCGUUGGGAGGAGCUGCGGCCGCCAUGAGGCCUUCCCUCAGCCUCCUCGGCCCGGGGCCCAACACACCGCAGGGUCUCAGUGCUCCUCACAGCAGCGCCCUCGGUCCCUUCCCCAUUUUUAUAACCCUAUUUUUUUUGUGUGUGUGUUUCGGUACGUAGGCGGAUCAGUCGGACGGAGCUGGAGAUGGGCGCAGUGCGGGGCUCCCCCCGGGCGGUAGGCCCGGAGCAGGCCGCAGGCCCCACACUCGUCGCCACGGCAACGCAUAGCGCGCAGGCGCAGAGUCCCACGGUGGGCCGCACAGCAUCACGGGACAGCAAGUCCGCAGCGCUACAACCCCUCUCAUCCCGCCCACGGAGUAGGACUACAGCUCCCAUAAACCCUCUCGGCGGGAAGAGCACCCCUCCCCUUCCUCUACACCUCUCCCUCCCAUUGGCUCCGCCGCCAUGUCCGGCAGCAGUACGGCGGCGCCCGAUUGGUUGGAAGGCGAACGGGACGAGGCGGCGGCUAUGGCGGACGAGCGGGCGGUGUGAGGGCUCGGCCGCCAUUUUGUGUGUGUGGGGGCUCGCGCCAGGCCUCGCUGCCGCCGCCGCGAGGCUGCAGCGUUUUCAGGGAGCCGGACUGCUGCUGCAGCGCUUCCUGCCUGAAGAGCGGCUGGAAGCGGAGUCGGGUAUCGCAGUCCCCCGCUGGGGACGGGGUGCUUCGGCAGGCGCUGGAAGUCUGCGCUGCUGCUAAGUGUGCCGAGGGCUGCGUGCUGCCCGGCUCACCGCGCUGCCCCGGGGUCACUGCUGCCGGAGUGGGACACGCAGCUGUCCGGGAGGAGCCGAGUCCGCCCCGUGCAGCGCUGCGGGGCUCCAGGUGGAGCAGGAGGCCUCAGCGGGCUGCUGCUUCUCUCCCCGAGCAAUGACUCCUAACGAGUGAGAUCCCAAUUAACUCAGCCCGCUCCUAACGAGUGAGAUCCCAAUUAACUCAGCCCGCUCCAACACAAGGAGCAGCAGCAGAGCCCCCGCAGCCACCCCAGCGCUGCCGCUGCCCGGUGGUGUCAUGGCAGAGGGAAGGGAAAAGGAGACUGCGAGGCUCCUGGGCAGCACCCCUGCGGUACUCUCCUGUCCUUCCCACAGCUGGUGGCAGUGUUUGCCCCGAGCGGAUUUUUUGGCCAAGCCUAUGCUAAAACCUGCCUGGAGCCCCACAGCAGCCCCACGCCAUCUUCCCCUUCCCCGGAGCUGACGUUUGUUAUGAAAUAAACCUGCCCCCGUAGGUACCGAGCAGGCUGCCUCCUCUGCGAGAUGUGUUCCAUAGCGCCCAUCCUGCCCUCGGUUACACAACAGCGGCUCAGCCCCAGCACUGCUUCACCCUUCGCCGUCCCCAUCCCCC